UCCAUGAAUUUCUUGCAUGUGGAGCUUGUUUUGAUAGAAAAUACUCAGAUAUUUUAUCAAAUUUAUAAUUAGUUUUUUAAUAUUUUGUAUAUAAAUGUCCUUUAAGUUUGAUGGCUUUAUUGUUUCAUUAGUCUGUAAUGAUUUUAGCACUUCACUAUGAGUUAUGGCUACAAACUCAAUAACAAGGGAUUAUACUUCUGAGUAAAAUUAGUACAAACUCCUAUUUGUUUAAUUCUUUGGAAUUACUUCUCUGAUCAUUAUUUAGUUUACUACUGUGAUUACUAACACAUUACUGAUGUGUGUCUUGUAUUGGCAAAAUUGGACAGUAAGGAUUGUUUUGCCAUCUAUAAUUUAGGGUUAAAAACAAAUGACACAAAUUUUACUCCCCUAAUUUAGCUAAGAAUUUACAAAAAAUAGGCUUGAUUAAAAAUGAAAAUGAUUGUAAAAAUAACAAGUUAUAUAAGUAAAUAAAUAUUUACAUUUUCAUAGAUUUUUACUCUUGGGUUGCAGGUGACAAACCUUGAAAUUUUACUCAUUGUAAUAUCGUACUAUUGCAUAUGACAGGGACACAACCAUGCCACCUGCAACUCAAGAACCAGGUUGAAGAAUACCUGAACUGUUUAACAAGCAAUGUCCAAUGAUCAUGCACUCGGAUAUUCCUGAAAUGUCAAAUUGAUAUAAACACUGCUAAGCACUUAUCCUUUUAAUUUCUGUACUUAUUUCCUUGUGGACUAAACACAAACAGUUCGCAGACUGUCACUGGUCCAAGAACUACACUUUGAGUAGCAUUACUCUAGGGAGCACUUGCAUUGAAGGGACCGGCAGAAAGAGAACUAAUGAAGGAAUUUGUGAAGUAACAAGGGAGGAGAACAAGGAGACCAUAGAUUUGUGGAAGACUAGGGAAUUUUUAAGAGGAAGUGGUUAACUAUAUUGACUGCAAGAAAGGUCAAGUAGGUUGAGGACCAAAAGAAGCCAUGGGAUUGACAACUAUCAUCAGUGACAUUUGAAAGAGUGAUUUCAGAAGGGGGCUCUUGGUGGUAGUGAAAGAAAGCCAGGGGCCAGCAGGCUGAGAAAUUGGGGAAGCAGAGAGAACCAAUGGGGACUACCCUUCUAAGAAGCUAGAUGGUUAAGAAAUGGAAAUAGUGUGGUAGCUUGGGGGUAUAAAAACUUUGAAGGAAGGCUUUUUAGAACGAUGAAGACUUUUUAGACCCUUCCCCAAAUUUUAAUAUCACUGAAGGAGUCUCAAACUGAAGAGAGUUCCCUCUCUAGAUAGAAAAUCUAAGAAAUACAUAUAUUUUUUGUAGGAGUCUUACAGCAAUCUUCUUAAAAUUACCAAGCAGGUUGGAAGAGAUCCAUGAAUUUCAAGAAGUUCAGGGGGAAUUUUUUUAUUGCUCUUGUCGCCUAGGCUGGAGUGCAGUGGCAUGAUCUCAGCUCACUGCAACCUCUGCCUCCUGGGUUCAAGUGAUUCUCCUGCCUCAGCCUCCAGAGUAGCUGGGAUUACAGGCACCUGCCACCACACUCAGCUAAUUUCGUAUUUUUGGUAGAGAUGUGGUUUCACCAUGUUUGCCAGCCUGGUCUCAAACUCCUGACCUCAGGUGAUCCACCCGCCUUGGCCUCCCAAACUGCUGGGAUUACAGGCGUGAGCCACCGUACCUGGUCUAGACUCUGCCGAAAUUCUAAUACUUCUUUGGUAAUGCAACAGAAAACUAAAGAUUUUGAUGGUGAACUCAAUUGCUUCUGAGUUGUGUGGAUGAAAAUAUAUUUUAUUAUUUUUUCCUUCAACUUUUAAGCUCCCAGGUAUAUGUGUAGGAUGUGCAGGUUUGUUACACAGGUAAAUGUGUGCUAUGGUGGUGUGCUGCACAGAUCAACCCAUCACCAUGGUAUUAAGCCCAGCAUCCAUUAGCUCUCCUGAUGCUCUCCCUCUCCCCACCCUUCCCCGCUACAGGCCCCAGUGUGUGUUGUUCCCCUUCCUGGGUCUAUUUUAUGGUAUGUAUGUGUGUAUGUGUGUGUGUGUGUGUGUGUGUGUGUGUGUGUGUGUAUCUAUUUAUGUGUAUAUAUUAUGAUAUAUACACCACACUUUUUUCAAACUAUUAUUUUAGGUUUAGGGAUACAUGUGCAAGUUUGUUAUAUAGGUAAACUGUGUGUCUCUGGGGUUUGGUGUGUACAGAUUUUUUCACCACCCAGGUAACAAGUGUAGUACCUGAUAGGUAGUUUUUUGAUCUUCUGUCCUCUCACCCUACACCCUCAAGUAAUCCCCCAGUGUGUGUUGUUCCCCUCUUCAUGUCCAUGUGUUCUCAUUGUUUAGCUCCCACUUAUAAGUGAGAACAUGCAGUGUUUGGUUUUCUGUUCCUGCGUUAGUUUGCUGAGGAUAAAGGCUUCUGGCUCCAUCCAUGUUCCUGCAAAGGACAUGAUCUCAUUCCUUUUUAUGGCUGCAGGAAAAUAUAUUUUACAUACUAGUGAACAUAGUUAAAUUAAUCCAUGGUCAAGACAUAUAUUCUUU
rnacentral:lncRNA from 1 species